rnacentral:rRNA from 1 species
UACGUAGGGUGCGAGCGUUGUCCGGAAUUAUUGGGCGUAAAGAGCUCGUAGGUGGCUUGUCACGUCGGGUGUGAAAUCCCAGGGCUUAACUCUGGGUCUGCAUUCGAUACGGGCUGGCUAGGGUCCUUCAGGGGAGACUGGAAUUCCGGGUGUAGCGGUGGAAUGCGUAGAGAUCCGGAAGAACACCGGUGGCGAAGGCGGUUAGCUGGGCAGUUGCUGGACACUGAGGCGCGACAGCGUGGGGAGCAAACAGG